rnacentral:rRNA from 1 species
UACGUAGGGGGCGAGCGUUGUCCGGAGUUACUGGGCGUAAAGGGCGCGCAGGCGGUCUGGUAAGUUUGGAGUGACAGUGCUCGGCUUAACUGAGCAAGGCCUUCGAAAACUAUCAGACUUGAGCACUCAAGAGGGACAUAGAAUUCCGGGUGGAGUGGUGAAAUGCGUAGAUAUCCGGAGGAAUACCAAAGGCGAAGGCAGUGUCCUGGGGAGUGUCUGACGCUCAGGCGCGAAAGCUAGGGGAGCGAACAGGA